rnacentral:rRNA from 1 species
UACAGAGGUCUCAAGCGUUGUUCGGAUUCAUUGGGCGUAAAAGGGGUGUGUAGGUGGCGCGCUAAGUCGGGUGUGAAAAUUUCGGAGCUUAACUCCGAAACUGCAUUCGAUACUGGCGUGACUUGAGGACUGGAGAGGAGACUGGAAUUCAUGGUGUAGCAGUGAAAUGCGUAGAGAUCAUGAGGAAGACCAGUGGCGAAGGCGGGUCUC